rnacentral:rRNA from 1 species
AUUGAACGCUGGCGGCAUGCCUUACACAUGCAAGUCGAACGGCAGCACGGGAGCAAUCCUGGUGGCGAGUGGCGAACGGGUGAGUAAUAUAUCGGAACGUGCCCAGUCGUGGGGGAUAACGUAGCGAAAGCUACGCUAAUACCGCAUACGAUCUAUGGAUGAAAGCGGGGGAUCGCAAGACCUCGCGCGAUUGGAGCGGCCGAUAUCAGAUUAGGUAGUUGGUGGGGUAAAAGCCUACCAAGCCUUCGAUCUGUAGCUGGUCUAAGAGGACGACCAGCCACACUGGAACUGAGACACGGUCCAGACUCCUACGGGAGGCAGCAGUGGGGAAUUUUGGACAAUGGGCGCAAGCCUGAUCCAGCAAUGCCGCGUGCAGGAUGAAGGCCUCGGUUGUAAACUGCUUUGUACGGACGAAACGGCUCUUUCUAAUAAAGGGAGCUAAUGACGGUACCGUAAGAAUAAGCACCGGCUAACUACGUGCCAG